rnacentral:rRNA from 1 species
UACGAACUGUGCGAACGUUAUUCGGAAUCACUGGGCUUACAGGGUGCGUAGGCGGCUUUUCAAGUCAGGUGUGAAAGCCCCCGGCUCAACCGGGGAACUGCGCUUGAAACUGAAAGGCUCGAGUCAGCUAGAGGUACACGGAACUUCCAGUGGAGCGGUGAAAUGUGUUGAUAUUGGAAGGAACACCGGAGGCGAAAGCGGUGUACUGGGGCUGGUCUGACGCUGAGGCACGAAAGCCAGGGGAGCGAACGGG